GGGCCCGCACAAGCGGUGGAGCAUGUGGCUUAAUUCGAGGCAACGCGAAGAACCUUACCUGGUCUUGACAUGCCCGUCAUAGUUUUCCGAAAGGAAUUCGUCGGUUCGGCCGGACGGUGCACAGGUGCUGCAUGGCUGUCGUCAGCUCGUGUCGUGAGAUGUUCGGUUAAGUCCGGCAACGAGCGCAACCCUCGUUCCUAGUUGCCAGCGGGUAAUGCCGGGGACUCUAGGAAGACAAACCUCGUGUAGAGGUGGGAAGGUGGGGACGACGUCAAGUCAGUAUGGCCCUUACGACCAGGGCUGCACACGUGCUACAAUGCUCGGCACAAUGGGAUGCAACGCCGCGAGGUUGAGCUAAUCCAUAAAACCGAGCCCAGUUCGGAUUGGAGUCUGCAACUCGACUCCAUGAAGUUGGAAUCGCUAGUAAUGGC
rnacentral:rRNA from 1 species